AAAAAUGACAAAUAUAGAAAAAGAAUGGAGAGGAAAAAAAUGUCACCAAUAAAAAAGGACUUCUUUUCUUCCCCUCGUUUUUUUAUGUCAUUAUGUCUU
rnacentral:ribozyme from 1 species